rnacentral:lncRNA from 1 species
CUUCUGUCCCUGUAUCUAUAUAUCAUCAUGGAAGCCACUUUCACUUGGCGCACCUCUGUUCUGAUGGGUUCUAGUUCUAGCCUCCUAGGAAUUGGAGGCUCAAGGAAUAUUCAGAAGGCUGGUAUUCAGGAGUUUUAGAAGGCUCAAGGCCUUGUAGGAAAGUACCAACAUUCUAGCUCUAAAACUUCUGAUAUGGCCAUUACAAGUCAAACUUCAUCACGCAAAUUGCACUUGGCCACAUGGUGAAGACUCGCACGCCGGCGGGCAUCGCCCAUUGAGCAAGCUGCGCAUCAUCGUGAAGGGACAACGCCACCUACGGAACAUGGCAUCAAACCGAAACACAUACAUGCAAGCC